rnacentral:tRNA from 1 species
ACCGCAGUAUGGCCAGGUCGGCGGGACGGGCAGUUUUAUCUCAUAAUCCCUCGGUCGCGGGUUCGAGUCCCGCCCGCC